GUGUCAGCCGCCGCGGUAAUACGGAGGAUGCAAGCGUUAUCCGGAAUCAUUGGGCGUAAAGAGUCCGUAGGUGGCACUUCAAGUCUGCUUUCAAAGACCGAAGCUCAACUUCGGAAAGGGAGUGGAAACUGAAGAGCUAGAGUAUAGUAGGGGUAGAGGGAAUUCCUAGUGUAGCGGUGAAAUGCGUAGAGAUUAGGAAGAACACCAGUGGCGAAGGCGCUCUACUGGGCAUAUACUGACACUGAGGGACGAAAGCUAGGGGAGCGAAAGGGAUUAGAUACCCCUGUAGUCCUAGCGGUAAACGAUGGAUACUAGGCGUAGUGCUGUUAGAAGGACUGUGCCGAAGCUAACGCGUUAAGUAUCCCGCCUGGGGAGUACGCACGCAAGUGUGAAACUCAAAUGAAUUGACGGGG
rnacentral:rRNA from 1 species